rnacentral:rRNA from 1 species
UUGAACGCUGGCGGCAUGCUUUACACAUGCAAGUCGAACGGUAACAGGGAGCUUGCUCCGCUGACGAGUGGCGAACGGGUGAGUAAUGCAUCGGAACGUGCCUAUUUGUGGGGGAUAACGUAGCGAAAGUUACGCUAAUACCGCAUACGCCCUGAGGGGGAAAGCGGGGGACCGUAAGGCCUCGCGCGAUUGGAGCGGCCGAUGUCUGAUUAGCUAGUUGGUGGGGUAAAGGCCCACCAAGGCGACGAUCAGUAGCGGGUCUGAGAGGAUGAUCCGCCACACUGGGACUGAGACACGGCCCAGACUCCUACGGGAGGCAGCAGUGGGGAAUUUUGGACAAUGGGGGCAACCCUGAUCCAGCCAUGCCGCGUGCGGGAAGAAGGCCUUCGGGUUGUAAACCGCUUUCGGACGGAAAGAAAUCGCAUGGACUAAUACUCUGUGUGGAUGACGGUACCGUAAGAAGAAGCACCGGCUAACUACGU